GUUCUUGUGCCAGUUGCUAAUGGUUCAGAGGAAAUUGAAGCUCUUAAUUUAAUAGAUGUCUUGCGUAGAGCAGGUGCAAAUGUUACAGUUGCAUCAGUUGAGGAUACCCUGCAAAUCGUGACCCGGCGUCACAAGUUUAAUCUGAUAGCUGACAUGAUGUUGAACGAAGCUGCUAAAAUGGAAUUUGAUCUGAUUGUCAUGCCGGGCGGUCUGUCGGGUGCUCAAAAGUUUGCUAAUACAGACAAACUUGUUGAUUUACUGAAGAAGCAGGCAGGAUCUGGUAAACCCUAUGGUGCAAUAUGUGCUUCACCAGCUCAUGUCCUCGAGCCCCACGGUUUACUGAAGGGGAAAAAGGUGACGGCGUUUCCACCCAUGGCGCACCUGCUUACAGACCAGAGCCUAUGUGAGAACAGGGUUGUGAUUGACGGAAAUCUUAUCACUAGCAGAGCCCCAGGGACUGCGACAGAGUUCGCCCUGGCCAUUGUUGAGAAGCUAUUUGGUCGAGAGAAAGCAGUCAGUAUAGCGAAGGAGUUUGUUUUUAUGUGA
rnacentral:rRNA from 1 species